GCCUGGGUGGCUCAGUCGGUUGAGCGUCCGACUUUGGCUCAGGUCACGAUCUCACAGUUCGGUUCGUGAGUUCGAGCCCCACAUCAGGCU
rnacentral:tRNA from 1 species